rnacentral:rRNA from 1 species
AUUGAACGUUGGCGGCAUGCUUUACACAUGCAAGUCGAACGGCAGCGCGGGCUUCGGCCUGGCGGCGAGUGGCGAACGGGUGAGUAAUGCAUCGGAACGUGCCCAGUAGUGGGGGAUAGCCCGGCGAAAGCCGGAUUAAUACCGCAUACGACCUGAGGGUGAAAGCGGGGGACCGAAAGGCCUCGCGCUAUUGGAGCGGCCGAUGUCGGAUUAGCUAGUUGGUGGGGUAAAGGCUUACCAAGGCGACGAUCCGUAGCUGGUCUGAGAGGACGACCAGCCACACUGGGACUGAGACACGGCCCAGACUCCUACGGGAGGCAGCAGUGGGGAAUUUUGGACAAUGGGGGCAACCCUGAUCCAGCCAUGCCGCGUGCGGGAAGAAGGCCUUCGGGUUGUAAACCGCUUUUGUUCGGGAAGAAAUCCUCUGGGCUAAUACCCCGGGGGGAUGACGGUACCGGAAGAAUAAGCACCGGCUAACUACGUG